GGCUGGUCCAAAGGUACUGAGUUAUCUCAAUGGACCGUUUGCAGUCAGUUACAGAUGCAACUCCUUGUUCUACUCUUUCCCCCGUUCUCACUACUACACUUCACUAGUCUUAA
rnacentral:Y_RNA from 1 species